rnacentral:tRNA from 1 species
GACGAGGUGGCCGAGUGGUUAAGGCGAUGGACUGCUAAUCCAUUGUGCUCCCCACUCGUGGGUUCGAAUCCCAUCCUCGUCG